CAGGGAAUAGUUUAAUUAGAAUGUC
rnacentral:tRNA from 1 species